GCUCGCUUCAGCGGCACCUGCACUACAGUUGGAACGGUACACAGAGGGUUAGCAUGGCCCCCGUGCAAGGAUGACACGCAAAUUUGUGAAGUGUUCCAUUUUUUU